rnacentral:rRNA from 1 species
AUUGAACGCUGGCGGCAGGCCUAACACAUGCAAGUCGAGCGGAUGAAGGGAGCUUGCUCCUGGAUUCAGCGGCGGACGGGUGAGUAAUGCCUAGGAAUCUGCCUGGUAGUGGGGGAUAACGUCCGUAAACGGGCGCUAAUACCGCAUACGUCCUGAUGGUGAAAGUGGGGGUUCUUCGGACCUCACGCUAUCAGAUGAGCCUAGGUCGGAUUAGCUAGUUGGUGGGGUAAAGGCCUACCAAGGCGACGAUCCGUAACUGGUCUGAGAGGAUGAUCAGUCACACUGGAACUGAGACACGGUCCAGACUCCUACGGGAGGCAGCAGUGGGGAAUAUUGGACAAUGGGCGAAAGCCUGAUCCAGCCAUGCCGCGUGUGUGAAGAAGGUCUUCGGAUUGUAAAGCACUUUAAGUUGGGAGGAAGGGCAGUAAGUUAAUACCUUGCUGUUUUGACGUUACCAACAGAAUAAGCACCGGCUAACUUCGUG